AUAACAAAAUUAGUCAAUGAGUAUAUUUUGUUAAUGUUUUGAUUUUUAAUAAUGUUAUUUCUUGAUUUGAUUAUGUCCUUACCCAUUUCCAAUGCGAGUGCGGGCCUGCAGUGCGCUUUCACAGAGAGUACAGAAAGACUCCGCCCACACGCUGUUCUGAAUGGCUGUCAUUUUUGAUUGACGUGUGGCGUCUCACAGUCGCGUCGCGUCUUCUAGUGUGGACAGACACACUUGCUGUCGCUGGAAUUUUAUCGCGUCACGUGUAGUUAGGACACGGUGUGAAUGUGUGUUCUGCUGAAGAAAUACAGUCAUACACAUCUGGGAUGGCAUCAGGAAAGAAAGAGAGUGCUGGUGAAAGCUCGCUCUUGUUGGAGCCUAAGUUAAAGGAAGCACUGCGGGGACAAAGGCCGACUGUAUGCAAGCCGAACGCUUUAGAGCCCGUAAACAGGUAUCUGGAGGGAGGGGAAUUCAAAGGUGAACAAGAUGGCGAGUACUUGUGAGGAUAAAGGAAUCCAUUCGAUAUUGUUUGAAAGCUUUGGUUUUCGUGUGUCGGUAAAUAUGAACAGAGAACUGCCUCUCUGUUGAAUGUUUCUUUAGUUCGGACAGAUAAUAAGGCGUCACUCCACACACACACACACAAGGCUGUGUCAGGCCACUUUAAGGUAAUGUUUGAGUGCUCAAAACACCACACACAUGCUCGCACAAAGGGCACUAUUUCUUUAGUAGAUACACACUCUUAAACACACUUGUACAUAAAAUAGGUGCCAUAAUAGCAAAGCAUAAUUUGUGAGGAUAAAGGAAUCCAUUCGAUAUUGUUUGGAAGUUUAGGUUUUGGUGUGUCGGUAAAUACGAGCAGAGAACAGCCUCUCCGGCGAAAUGUUUCUUAAGUUUGGACAGAUAAUAAGAGGUCACUCCACACACACAUACACACACACACACACAAGGCUGUAUCAGGCCACUUUAAGGUAAUGUUUGAGUGCUCAAAACACAACACACAUGCUCGCACAAAGGGCACUAUUGCUUUUAGAUACACACUCUUAAACACACUUGUACAUAAAAUAGGUGUCACAAUAGUGUACUAACACUUCAUUUAAAUGGCACAUAUUUUAUAAACUCUUAAAUGUAAGCGACAUUUCAUGAGAAAUAUACAAUCCAGGGCCAUUGUCUGGGGAAACAUUGAAAAAAUGCAUCUUUACAUGGGGGCCCUUCUAUAAAAAGGUUGCCCCAGGCACUGUGAAUUCAAGCAAUGGCCUGGAUACAAUCAUUAUGGCUUUCACAAAUGUUACAUUAAAUGUUUUGCAAUCUAUGUUGCAGCUCUCUAAAAAAUAAAAAACUAUU